rnacentral:rRNA from 1 species
AGAGUUUGAUCAUGGCUCAGAACGAACGCUGGCGGCAGGCCUAACACAUGCAAGUCGAGCGGGCCCUUCGGGGUCAGCGGCGGACGGGUGAGUAACGCGUGGGAACGUGCCCUUUGGUACGGGAUAGCCUCUGGAAACGGAGAGUAAUACCGUAUGAGCCCUAUUGGGGAAAGAUUUAUCGCCAAGGGAUCGGCCCGCGUUGGAUUAGGUAGUUGGUGGGGUAAUGGCCUACCAAGCCGACGAUCCAUAGCUGGUUUGAGAGGAUGAUCAGCCACACUGGGACUGAGACACGGCCCAGACUCCUACGGGAGGCAGCAGUGGGGAAUCUUAGACAAUGGGGGCAACCCUGAUCUAGCCAUGCCGCGUGAGUGAAGAAGGCCCUAGGGUCGUAAAGCUCUUUCGCCGGGGAAGAUAAUGACUGUACCCGGUAAAGAAACCCCGGCUAGCUUCGUGCCAGCAGCCGCGGUAAUAC